rnacentral:rRNA from 1 species
AUGGGGAGGUCGCCGUGCUGUUGCCACGACGCGGGAGUGAAGAAAGGGCCAUGGACGGAGGAGGAGGACAAGACGCUGGUAGAGCACAUCCAGAAGCGCGGCGGGCACGUCGGCAGCUGGCGCGGCCUGCCCAAGGCCGCCGGGCUGAACCGCUGCGGCAAGAGCUGCCGCCUCCGGUGGACCAAUUACCUCCGUCCCGACAUCAAGCGCGGCAACUUCUCCGACGAGGAGGAGCGCCUCAUCAUCGCCCUCCACGCCGGCCUCGGCAACAGGUGGGCGACGAUCGCGACGCACCUGGAGGGCCGGACGGACAACGAGAUCAAGAACUACUGGAACACGCACAUCCGCAAGAAGCUCAUGCGCAUGGGCGUCGACCCCGUCACGCACCAGCAGCUGCCACCCGACCACCACCUUGACGGCACCUCCGCCUCGCUCAUGCCCGAGGGGCUCCUCUGGGCGGCGGUGGCCGCGAGCCUCGCAGGCCUCGACACCGGCGCACUCAGGCAGGCGCAGCUUCUGCAGCAGCUCCUCCAGAGCAUAGGCUCCAACAACGACGCAACCAACCUCAUCGCCAACCUAGCUGCCGCAAACUCAGUGCUGAACUCAAGCAGCAGCGUUGUUCCAAGCCACCUGCUCCAGGACCAACUGAACAUGUUGUCUGGGGCGAACUGCAUGCAGCCUGGUUACCUCUGCAACACCUCCAAUUUUACAGGGCAAGACGUGGUGCAGAGGCAGCUGAUCAAUGACAUGUCUCCUGGAACGAGCUCCUUUGCAGCAGCUGAACCAGCGGAUCAUCUCUGCAACACUACUGCUGCAUUCGCAUCUCAUGAUGUUGCACCAGCGGUUGACAUGCUGCCGGUGCAGGAGUUGGCCGGCUUGAUGGAGCCCAUGGAACUACAACUACCCAAUCUAUGCUCUCUGGAGAGCGAUUCUUUCUGGAAGGAGCUACUUGACGACGGCUACCGUCUAUAG